GAAUUACAGAGAUCUCAAGAAAGAAGAAAAGUGGAAAGGGUAUAUAAGAAAGGGAAGGAAAGAAAGAAGAAAGAAAGGGAGGCCAUGAAAUAUAAAUGAGCUCUAUUAAACGUUGGCUAAGCAUCAUGCUAAAUGAUUUAACACUUUUACCAUUUUAUCGUCUCAAAAGCUUAUCAUGUGCCUAUUAUUGUACACAUUUUGGAGGUUUCGUAAAGGCAUCACAGCUUAGUUACAAUCAUUAAUGCUGGACUUGCCAACUGAGAGGUGAUUGUAAAGGCUUUCAAAACAGAAGCAUAUCUGUAUCUCCAGCAGUGUGUUUCCAGUCACAGAAGAAGCAUUCAAUAAAUUAUUUUGAAUGGAUGAAUUCAGCUAACACAGUCUCUAUAGCCAGUUGUCUAAGUCAUUAUCUAAA
rnacentral:lncRNA from 10 species